rnacentral:rRNA from 1 species
ACCCGUUGAUCCUGCGGGAGAUUGCUGCUAUUCGGAUUCGACUUAGCCAUGCAAGUCAAGGGGGCUCUUCGGAGCAACCGGCAGAAUGCUCAGUAACACGUUACUAACUUACCCACAAGUCUGGGAUAGCCUUGGGAAACUGAGGGUAAACCCGGAUAAGAUAUACAAUCUGGAAUGAUGUGUAUCAUAAAGGUUACGCUUGUGGAUAGGGUAGCGGCUGAUUAGCUAGUUGGUAGGGUAAUGGCCUACCAAGGCGAUGAUCAGUAGGGGCCUUGAGAGAGGUAGCCCCGAGAAGGACACUGAGAUACUGGUCCUAGCCCUACGGGGUGCAGCAGGCGCGAAACCUUUACAAUGCACGAAAGUGUGAUAAGGGAAUCCGAAGUGCUCAUGGUUUCCAUGGGCUUUUUUCAAGGGUAAAUACCUUGGAGAAUAAGUGGUGGGCAAGACUGGUGCCAGCAGCCGCGGUAACACCAGCGCCACGAGUGGCGAUCGCAUAUUGGGCCUAAAGCGUCCGUAGUCGGUAUUGCAAAUCUCUUGUGAAAUUGGGGAGCUCAACUCCUCAGCGUGCGAGAGACACUACAAUACUUGGAACCGGGAGGAGUAAGAGGUAUUCUGGGGGGAGCGGUAAAAUGUGAUAAUCCUCGGAGGACCACCUGUGGCGAAGGCGUCUUACUAGAACGGAUUCGACGAUGAGGGACGAAGGCUAGGGGAGCAAACCGGAUUAGAUACCCGAGUAGUCCUAGCAGUAAACUCCGUGUGCUAGGUGUUGUGUAGUCUUAAAGGCUAUGCAGUAUCGAAGCGAAGGCGAUAAGCACACCGCCUGGGAAGUACGGUCGCAAGACUGAAACUUAAAGGAAUUGGCGGGGGAGCACUACAACAGGUGCGACGUGCGGUUUAAUCUAACUCCACACAGAGAAUCUCACCAGGGGCGACGGCAGGAUGACAGACAGUCUAAAGGGCUUUCUUGACGAGCCGAGAGGUAGUGCAUGGCCGCCGUCAGCUCGUGCCGUAAGGUGUCCUGUUAAGUCAGGCAACGAGCGAGACCUACAUCCUCAAUUGGCAGCAGACAUUUUUGUGACUGGCUACCUUGAGGGGACUGCCGGGGAAACCCGGAGGAAGGUGUAGGCAACGGUAGGUCUGUAUGCUCCGAAUCUCCUGGGCUACACGCGCGUAACAAUGGUUAAGACAAUGGGCUGCUACUCCGAAAGGAGGCGCUAAUCCUCGAAACUUAAUCUUAGUUCUGAUUGAGGGUUGUAACUCACCCUCAUGACGUUGGAAUCUGUAGUAAUCAGAGUUUAUCAGACUCUGGUGAAUACGUCCCUGCUCCUUGCACACACCGCCCGUCAAACCACUCGAGUAAAGUUUAAGUGAGUAUCAGUUUUUAGCUAAUCCAAACUUAGGCUUUGUGAGAUGGGUUAAGUCGUCACAAGGUA